UCCAUCUUCAAUUACAACAAGUCAACAACAUAUAUUUCAAAAUAUGAAAAAAGUGAAAUCUUUUGGAUUCUAUGGCCAAACGCCGACUAAGUAUUUUUACACAACUACUUGGAAUGAGAACUUCAAGAAAACUGAAAAAAUGAUGUCUUUGGACUGAUGACUAUUAAACUGGUCGAUAAAACGAUAGAGAUUCAACUCACUACUUCUAACCUACCAUUCUCCACAAGAUGUCUCGGAAUUCUCAUAGCUUGCUCAUGAAGCUGGAUAAUGAGCUAAAAUACGCCAUGCCAUGUUUGACAUGCCCAGAGUUCUACAUAAAAAAAGG
rnacentral:misc_RNA from 1 species